rnacentral:rRNA from 1 species
CCUACGGGGUGCAGCAGUGAGGAAUAUUGGUCAAUGGACGAGAGUCUGAACCAGCCAAGUAGCGUGAAGGAUGACUGCCCUAUGGGUUGUAAACUUCUUUUAUAUGGGAAUAAAAUGUUCCACGUGUGGGAUUUUGUAUGUACCAUAUGAAUAAGGAUCGGCUAACUCCGUGCCAGCAGCCGCGGUAAUACGGCGGAUCCGAGCGUUAUCCGGAUUUAUUGGGUUUAAAGGGAGCGUAGGUGGAUUGUUAAGUCAGUUGUGAAAGUUUGCGGCUCAACCGUAAAAUUGCAGUUGAAACUGGCAGUCUUGAGUGCAGGAGAGGUGGGCGGAAUUCGUGGUGUAGCGGUGAAAUGCUUAGAUAUCACGAAGAACUCCGAUUGCGAAGGCAGUUCACUGGACUGCAACUGACACUGAGGCUCGAAAGUGUGGGUAUCAAACAGGAUUAGAUACCCCUGUAGUC